rnacentral:tRNA from 1 species
UCCCUGAUAGCUCAGUUGGUAAAGAAUCUGCUUGCAAUGCAGGAGACCCUGGUUCGAUUCCUGGGUUGGGAA